GAUGAACGCUGGCGGCGUGCCUAAUACAUGCAAGUCGAGCGAACAGACGAGGAGCUUGCUCCUCCGACGUUAGCGGCGGACGGGUGGGUAACACGUGGAUAACCUACCUAUAAGACUGGGAUAACUUCGGGAAACCGGAGCUAAUACCGGAUAAUAUAUUGAACCGCAUGGUUCAAUAGUGAAAGACGGUUUUGCUGUCACUUAUAGAUGGAUCCGCGCCGCAUUAGCUAGUUGGUAAGGUAACGGCUUACCAAGGCGACGAUGCGUGGCCGACCUGAGAGGGUGAUCGGCCACACUGGAACUGAGACACGGUCCAGACUCCUACGGGAGGCAGCAGUAGGGAAUCUUCCGCAAUGGGCGAAAGCCUGACGGAGCAACGCCGCGUGAGUGAUGAAGGUCUUCGGAUCGUAAAACUCUGUUAUUAGGGAAGAACAAAUGUGUAAGUAACUAUGCACGUCUUGACGGUACCUAAUCAGAAAGCCACGGCUAACUACGUG
rnacentral:rRNA from 1 species